ensembl:lncRNA
AGAGAGAGAAGGAAAGAGAGAGAGAGAGACAGAGAAGGAAAGAGAGAGAAGGAAAGAGAGAGAGAGAAGGAAAGAGAGAGAAGGAAAGAGAGAGAAAGAGAGAGAGAGAAGGAAAGAGAGAGAAGGAAAGAGAGAGAAGGAAAGAGAGAGACAGAGAAGGAAAGAGAUAGAAGGAAAGAGAGAGAGAGAAGGAAAGAUAGAGAGAGAGAGAAGGAAAGAUAAAGAGAGAGAAGGAAAGAGAGAGAGAGAGAGAAGGAAAGAGAGAGAGAGAGAGAAGAAAAGA